AAUGAACGCUGGCGGCGCGCCUAAUACAUGCAAGUCGAGCGAGAAGACGUAGCAAUACGUUUGUAAAGCGGCGAACGGGUGAGGAAUACAUGGGUAACCUACCCUCGAGUGGGAAAUAACUAGCCGAAAGGUUAGCUAAUACCGCGUACGCUUCUUGGACUUCGGUUCAGGGAGGAAAGCGAUGCCGAGGGUAUCGCGCUCUUGGAUGGGCUCAUGUCCUAUCAGCUUGUUGGGAGGUAACGGCUCACCAAGGCUUCGACGGGUAGCUGGUCUGAGAGGACGAUCAGCCACACUGGCACUGCGACACGGGCCAGACUCCUACGGGAGCAGCAGUAAGGAAUAUUGCGCAAUGGACGAAAGCCUGACGCAGCGACGCCGCGGUGGGGGAUGAAGGUCUUCGGAUU
rnacentral:rRNA from 1 species